rnacentral:rRNA from 1 species
GAUGAACGCUAGCGGCAGGCUUAAUACAUGCAAGUCGAGGGGCAGCAGGACUGUAGCAAUACAGUUGCUGGCGACCGGCAAACGGGUGCGGAACACGUACGCAACCUACCCAUAACUGGGGAAUAGCCCGGGGAAACCCGGAUUAAUACCUCGUAACCUGGUGAAGUGGCAUCACUUUAUCAGUAUAGCUCCGGCGGUUAUGGAUGGGCGUGCGCCUGAUUAGGUAGUUGGCGGGGUAACGGCCCACCAAGCCUGCGAUCAGUAACUGGUGUGAAACCACGACAAGUCACACGGGCACUGAGACACGGGCCAGACUCCGACGGGAGGCAGCAGUAAGGAAUAUUGGUCAAUGGACGCAAGUCUGAACCAGCCAUGCCGCGUGAAGGAUGAAGGUCCUCUGGAUUGUAAACUUCUUUUAUAGGGGACGAAACCCGGGUAUUCUUACCCGAUUGACGGUACCCUAGGAAUAAGCACCGGCUAACUCCGUGCCAGCCGCCGCCGUAAAAC